UUCCAAUAAAUGAAUUGCAACUUUAUCAUCGAUCCUCACUCUCUAUUCUAAUUAUCUUCUUCUUCCUAUUAAUCAUUUAGAACCCUAACCCUAGCUCCACCCCAACCAACCGGAAUUGCUGCUAAUCGAUGGUAGAGAUGAAUAAUAAUAAUUAUAAAUAUGAAUUCAUUGAGGAAAUGGAUCCUUAUUAUGAUGGUAAAACAUUCCUACCAUCAGAUUCCGAUGAUGAUGAUUCAGAAGAUGAAGCUGGUUGGUUAAGUGUUAUAAACCAACUCAAACUCACUGAUGGUUUUCAGGUUGAUCAUCUCCCUAAUAACCAAGCAAACUGGAGUUCAUUUGUUGUGGAGUCUUUUUAUAAGACUUAUGAUAAGCAUACAAUUGAAGCAGCUCAUGCAGCCGUUACUGAAUUUAACAAACUCAAGGUUAUCUUUGUUACUUAGUUAGUUUGUUUAAUAAUUUUAUAAUCAUUAUUGUAUAUAUGUGUUACUUAAAUGGUUUUAACACUAUCACAAAUUACAGGGUGCUAAUUUGGAGCUGAAAAAAAUUGUAACUUCAAUAUUUAGUUUAGGACCAAGAGAGUAUUCUUUUACUCUGGAAUGUACGGAUGGGUGUUACUAUGAAGCUAGGGUGUUUAUGGUUGGGAAAGAAAAAUUUGAUCUAACCAUCUUUAGGCCUGCAAAACAUUACCCAAGGCCCACACCCGCAGCGACAAGCAACUAGAAAGGGAGAUUUGAGUUCAGAUUCAGAUGUGGAAGAAGUAGGUGCAUGUGUAGCUUGAUUGUGUAGAAAGAACUAGGUAGAAAUAGAGACUUUAACUGCACUUUACUCUUUAGUUAAAAGAAAUAAAAUAGUAACAUUCUCAUUCUCACACAACUUGGUUUGGUUUGGUUUGGUUUUUUUGGGUGUCUAUGUGCAUUUUUGUUUUAAUCUCCAUGACUGUUAUCAUAUUUCUUUUGUGUUUUAAAUCUUUACAAA